rnacentral:rRNA from 1 species
UACGGAGGGGGCUAGCGUUAUUCGGAAUUACUGGGCGUAAAGCGUACGUAGGCGGCUUUUUAAGUCGGAUGUGAAAUCCCUGAGCUUAACUUAGGAAUUGCAUUCGAUACUGGUCAGCUAGAGUAUGGGAGAGGAUGGUAGAAUUCCAGGUGUAGCGGUGAAAUGCGUAGAGAUCUGGAGGAAUACCGAUGGCGAAGGCAGCCAUCUGGCCUAAUACUGACGCUGAGGUACGAAAGCAUGGGGAGCAAACAGG